AACGAACGCUAGCGGCGCGUUUUAAGCAUGCAAGUCGAACGGGGAUAUUAGGAGCAAUUCUGGUAUCCUAGUGGCAAACGGGUGAGUAACACGUGGAUAAUCUGCCCUCAAGACCUGGAUAGCCCGCAGAAAUGCGGAUUAAUACGGGAUGUGGUGCCUGAUCAUGAGGAUCGGGACAUUAAAGGUGGGGACCGCAAGGCCUGCCGCUUGGGGAGGAGUCCGCGGCCCAUUAGCUAGUUGGUGGGGUAAAGGCCUACCAAGGCGACGAUGGGUAGCCGGCCUGAGAGGGUGACCGGCCACAUUGGGACUGAGACACGGCCCAGACUCCUACGGGAGGCAGCAGCUAAGAAUCUUCCGCAAUGGGCGAAAGCCUGACGGAGCGACGCCGCGUGGACGAUGAAGGUCUUCGGAUUGUAAAGUCAUUUCGGGGAGGAAGAAUAAGCCGGCUCUAACAGAGACGGUGAUGACGACCCUCCCAGAAGAAGCUCCGGCUAACUACGUGCC
rnacentral:rRNA from 1 species